rnacentral:rRNA from 1 species
GUCUACGGCCAUACCACCCUGAACGCGCCCGAUCUCGUCUGAUCUCGGAAGCUAAGCAGGGUCGGGCCUGGUUAGUACUUGGAUGGGAAACAAAUGUGUACUCUGUUGCUGCUGGAUG